UACGGGGGGGGCAAGCGUUGUUCGGAAUUACUGGGCGUAAAGGGCGCGUAGGCGGCCUUCUAAGUCGGACGUGAAAUCCCUCGGCUCAACCGAGGAACUGCGUCCGAUACUGAAAGGCUUGAAUCCGGGAGAGGGAUGUGGAAUUCCAGGUGUAGCGGUGAAAUGCGUAGAUAUCUGGAGGAAUACCGGUGGCGAAGGCGGCGUUCUGGACCAUUACUGACACUGAAUCGCGAAAGCUAGGGGAGCAAACGGG
rnacentral:rRNA from 1 species